CCUACGGGUGGCUGCAGUGGGGAAUAUUGCACAAUGGGCGCAAGCCUGAUGCAGCCAUGCCGCGUGUGUGAAGAAGGCCUUCGGGUUGUAAAGCACUUUCAGCGGGGAGGAAGGCGUUAAGGUUAAUAACCUUGGCGAUUGACGUUACCCGCAGAAGAAGCACCGGCUAACUCCGUGCCAGCAGCCGCGGUAAUACGGAGGGUGCAAGCGUUAAUCGGAAUUACUGGGCGUAAAGCGCACGCAGGCGGUCUAUCAAGUCGGAUGUGAAAUCCCCGGGCUCAACCUGGGAACUGCAUUCGAAACUGGCAGGCUAGAGUCUUGGAGAGGGGGGUAGAAUUCCAGGUGUAGCGGUGAAAUGCGUAGAGAUCUGGAGGAAUACCGGUGCCGAAGGCGGCCCCCUGGACAAAGACUGACGCUCAGGUGCGAAAGCGUGGGGAGCAAACAGGAUUAGAUACCCUAGUAGUC
rnacentral:rRNA from 1 species